UGGGGAAUUUUCCGCAAUGGGCGAAAGCCUGACGGAGCAACGCCGCGUGAGGGAGGAAGGCUCUUGGGUUGUAAACCUCUUUUGUCAGGGAAGAAGAACUGACGGUACCUGACGAAUCAGCAUCGGCUAACUCCGUGCCAGCAGCCGCGGUAAUACGGAGGAUGCAAGCGUUAUCCGGAUUUAUUGGGCGUAAAGCGUCCGCAGGUGGUUGAGCAAGUCUGCCGUCAAAGCGUGGAGCUUAACUCCAUACCGGCGGUGGAAACUGCUCGACUAGAGUGUGGCAGGGGUAGCGGGAAUUCCCAGUGUAGCGGUGAAAUGCGUAGAUAUUGGGAAGAACACCGGCGGCGAAAGCGCGCUACUGGGCCAAUACUGACACUGAGGGACGAAAGCCAGGGGAGCGAAAG
rnacentral:rRNA from 1 species